rnacentral:rRNA from 1 species
GUGGGGAAUAUUGGACAAUGGGCGAAAGCCUGAUCCAGCCAUGCCGCGUGUGUGAAGAAGGUCUUCGGAUUGUAAAGCACUUUAAGUUGGGAGGAAGGGCAGUAAGUUAAUACCUUGCUGUUUUGACGUUACCGACAGAAUAAGCACCGGCUAACUUCGUGCCAGCAGCCGCGGUAAUACGAAGGGUGCAAGCGUUAAUCGGAAUUACUGGGCGUAAAGCGCGCGUAGGUGGUUUUGUAAGUUGGAGGUGAAAUCCCCGGGCUCAACCUGGGAACUGCCUCCAAAACUGCAGGACUAGAGUACGGUAGAGUGUAGUGGAAUUUCCUGUGUAGCGGUGAAAUGCGUAGAUAUAGGAAGGAACACCAGUGGCGAAGGCGACUACCUGGACUGAUACUGACACUGAGGUGCGAAAGCGUGGGGAGCAAACAGGAUUAGAAACCCCGGUAGUCC